GAUGAACGCUAGCGGCAGGCCUAACACAUGCAAGUCGAGCGGUAGAGAGGUGCUUGCAUCUCUUGAGAGCGGCGGACGGGUGAGUAAUGCCUAGGAAUCUGCCUGGUGUGGGGGAUAACGUUCGGAAACGGACGCUAAUACCGCAUACGUCCUACGGGAGAAAGCGGGGGAUCUUCGGACCUCGCGCCAUUAGAUGAGCCUAGGUCGGAUUAGCUAGUUGGUGAGGUAAUGGCUCACCAAGGCGACGAUCCGUAACUGGUCUGAGAGGAUGAUCAGUCACACUGGAACUGAGACACGGUCCAGACUCCUACGGGAGGCAGCAGUGGGGAAUAUUGGACAAUGGGCGAAAGCCUGAUCCAGCAAUGCCGCGUGAGUGAUGAAGGC
rnacentral:rRNA from 1 species